UAAAAGUUAACACUUUGUAUGGAGUUGGAACGUUUGCCGCUGUUCCAACUGCAUACAAAUUUGAGUUA
rnacentral:pre_miRNA from 1 species